CACGUAACCAAUAUCUUACUUCCUACCCACGUAUCACUUUUGUUUUCUGCCUUUCCUUCUCCAAAAUAAUAUAUUUUCCUCAGUUCUAAUCCAGGUUCUUAAAAUUGGACCAGACUAGGUUCAACUGGAAACUGGUCACCUGUCCGGUUCAAAAGUCUCUCAUAACCGUUCUGGCAUCAUCGAACUGGUGACUAACAGGUGAAAAAUCGAUCAAAUCGACGGUUUGAGCAGGUCAUCGUUCCUAAAAAAAAAGCAUCUUUUCAAGGGAUCAAAAUGAUGUCGUUUCACCUUUUUUUUUCUUUCUCACAAAAGAGGAAAGAUAGAAACUCUCAAUCUCUGACAAAAGCUAACCCUAACACUCUCAAUCUCUCAUGAGUCUCACGCUUCUUCUUCUCAUAGAGGCACCUUCUCUAUCGACCUCGUGCACCUUCUUUAGCAAAUUGGUUUUCCCCGCAGCGAAGUAGGGGACAAAUUUGAGUUUAGAAUCUCUCCUCUCAUUCCUUGCUUCAGGUUGCUUAAUCUGUUUCUCAAUCUCGCACCUUCUCCGGCAAAAGGAACUUCUUCAGGUGGGUUAGUGCCCCCAAUACAAAUGCCAACGUUAUUCCAAUCAUGUUUGAGUUGAUGUAACCAAUCUUUAUAAUUAAAAUUAUAUCAAUUACUUUUAGUUCUUAUUUCUUUUUUUUUAGAGUUAUAUUAAAUUUUUUUAAAAAAUAUUAGUUUAUUGAAAUUGGUUCAAUUUGAAUACUAUUGAACCUUGAACCAGUGUGUGUUCACUUAGUGACUGGUCCAGUUUAAAAAUCUUGAUUUUGAUAAUAAUAAUUAAAAUAAUUUUUAUUUUUAUUUUUA